AAAGAGACAAGAAGGACACCUGAGGGAAAGGUUAACGAUUACAGGUCUUUCUAACCUCAGAGGGAUCAUGAUACUGUCACAAAACAACUGCCACUAAUAAUCAUGACUCGGAGUUGUCAGCAGGAUGAUACCGUUGAUGAUGGUCUCUAGUAUCCAGAGGCACAGGCUGACUAAGAAGGCGAAGCGUCUGGUCCUCAGAAACAUGAACUGGAGAGGGUAGACAACUGCCAAGAAGCGGUCAACAGCGAUGCUGACAAGACACACAGAGAGACCCGAUGUUGGCAGGCACUCCAAUUAGGAC